AGCCGAGACAUGGCUGAUCAGCAAUUGGCUGACUUUUAUAGCUCUCAUCUCCCACCUAAAUCACACUUAAUACCCUCUUAACACCAACCCAUUUCCUUAAUUCCCGAGACAUGUGAAUUCUUUAAUAACCAAACCUCCACAACCAUUAUACAAAUCCUGUUCUUCCACCCUCUCUGUUCUUAUAUGUGUGCGACACCAAGGGACCAUCAACUUGUUUGCCAUCUCUUUCUACUCCCAAACAGUUAGCAAACCACCGGAGUUGGAGGUCUCGCCGGAAAAUAUCACGUGUUAUCGACCACUGUGAAGAUCGGAAAACCCGUACACAACCUCAACGCCCUCUCUGUUUCGAUAACCAGCUGUCAGGGAAACCGAAACACACCGGAGUUUCGUCGGAAGAACUAGUCGGAGAUCCACUCACGUCGUAUUCGAAUUAUAGCACAUCGAAAACACCGUCGGAGAAUAACCGAAGCCACCGGAGCCGCACGGGAUCGACUGCAACUCGUUCCUUCCUCGUUUUCGUUCACCGAGCACGUCGCCGGAGUUCGAAACUUGCUGGAGAUUGGAGUUCCACCGGAGCCGUACAGAGAUCGACGGGAAUCCUUUUUAUGUUUCGGAUAACCAUUACGUUCGUUCUCUUGGAUUCACAAUACUUACUCGUGUGUUGUUUCAAGAAUUCUCACACGCAACCAAUGUUAAUUGAUGAAGUGAUGUUACAAGAUGAAACAAGAUUUAGGGUGGACUAGAUACACACCUAGAUUAAUCUAUCUUUUGUUGUUAUAUUACAAUUUGAAACAAUGUUGUUAUUGUUAUUUGAAUCUUGUAUGACAAUUACUCUUGAAAUGAAAUUUGAAUUAAAUUAAUAUUGUCACAUAGUGUUAUGAAGUCUCUUGCAAUCUACGCACUUCGUCUCAUCCCGAUAUUUCCACCAUCGGUUGGGGUGUGACAGAUUGGUAUCAGAGCCAUAACUAGAGGGAAUUAGGAAAAGUAGGAAUGCUUUAACCUAGUCUAUAGUUUUAGAGCUUUAUUCGUAUGUUUUGCUUGAAACUACUUGCAUGCUACUUUAUUUGCUUGUAUUUAUUCUCUUUUGAUCUUUUAAGCAUGAUUUGUCACUUGUGUGCUAACACUUGACAUGCUAUACUUGUUUUAUUAUGUGUUAAUAUUUGUUUCAUUGUUCUCUCAUUUAUGUGUUAUUCGUGACAUACUUUUUAUGAGUUAAGAAUUGUUUCAUUAUUCAAUUCUUUAUGUGCUAUUCUUGACAUGUUUAUACUUGUUCGUCUAAUCCUUAACAUACACUUUUCCUCAUACAUUUUACUCGAUUAUUCUAAAUUCGACAACACUCAUAUUAUACAAACGAGACGAGUUUACCAAAAAAAAACGUGAAACACACAAUUUGGUAAACGACUCUCAUCUCACUUGAUUCUAUUUAUGCACGGAAUUCACCAUUAAGUUAGGAGUGAAAUCCACAUCUUAAUGGAAAUUUCAAAUGCAAAUUCUUGUGGACCCUCGUCAACGUGUCGAAAUUUAAUUUGACCCAACGAGUGCCAACUACACUUAGGGUACGAAGUCGUCAAGUUAGGGGUGAAACCCGCACCUUGUCGACGAGUCCCACUCCUUGAUUUUCAUGAAUCCCGCCAAGUCUCGAAUUUUCGAUUGAAUUGGAACGUGUAGUAACCGGAAGGGUAAAUACCGUUAACCGACAUGUCAGCGAGAGUAUUUCACCUAUUAGGCCAAAGCAUGUUCUCAAUUUCAAAAUACCUUUCGACCACUUUGGUUAGUCAACGUUCCGUUCAGGAACCAUCCAAGUUUCAUUUUAUCAAACUUACGCUUUAUUAAUUUUCGAUUUUUUUUUGAUAAAAAAUCUCUCUUGUCAAUUUUGAACCAUUUUUGAGAUUUCACUUUUGCGCAUACACCAUACUAAUAAUUUUCAUACGAUUAUACAUUACUAGCAUGCAUAAUCCCAUGUAAUUUUAUUUACACUUUUGCAACAACGAGUGGAGACAUAUCAUCAAGAUGGGGGUGAUUUCCUUACCUUGACGAUUAACUCCGCUUCUUUCUCAUCAUACAACGACCUCACCAACGGAUUAGGGGUGAUUCCCUUACCUAGGUGAUCGUUACCAAUAGUUUCUUUUAAUAGACUAUAUUAUGUAAACACGAUCAUGUUUAUAUUUAAAUUGUUUAUCAUUACAAACCUCUACUUAUUUCAAAACGCAUUGGUUAUAUAAACGAAUUUCUUAUUCCACGAUCUAUUUACAUACCGCUAACAUACACAAAAUACUUAGCUUUUACCAUAAAUGCUUAUUCCCUGAUAUUCAAAAUUUCACGAAUGCUACUCAUCGACUUAAUCGGUCCAACAAAACCAUUGCCCACGAAAUUUUGUAUUCAAUGUAAUUAUUAAAACACGCUCCUCUCACACAAUUAAACUAUAGAUUUUUAUUUUCAAUUGAGAAUCAAACCAACUUUUUCGCACACACCAAAAAAAAAUUACAAAUAUUGUUCCAUCAUUCACUAAAACUCCUUUUCAAAACCAAUAAAAUAUUUUUUUCAACAAUC